rnacentral:rRNA from 2 species
UGGCGGCGUGCCUAAUACAUGCAAGUCGAACGAACUCUGGUAUUGAUUGGUGCUUGCAUCAUGAUUUACAUUUGAGUGAGUGGCGAACUGGUGAGUAACACGUGGGAAACCUGCCCAGAAGCGGGGGAUAACACCUGGAAACAGAUGCUAAUACCGCAUAACAACUUGGACCGCAUGGUCCGAGCUUGAAAGAUGGCUUCGGCUAUCACUUUUGGAUGGUCCCGCGGCGUAUUAGCUAGAUGGUGGGGUAACGGCUCACCAUGGCAAUGAUACGUAGCCGACCUGAGAGGGUAAUCGGCCACAUUGGGACUGAGACACGGCCCAAACUCCUACGGGAGGCAGCAGUAGGGAAUCUUCCACAAUGGACGAAAGUCUGAUGGAGCAACGCCGCGUGAGUGAAGAAGGGUUUCGGCUCGUAAAACUCUGUUGUUAAAGAAGAACAUAUCUGAGAGUAACUGUUCAGGUAUUGACGGUAUUUAACCAGAAAGCCACGGCUAACUACGUGCCAGCAGCCGCGGUAAUACGUAGGUGGCAAGCGUUGUCCGGAUUUAUUGGGCGUAAAGCGAGCGCAGGCGGUUUUUUAAGUCUGAUGUGAAAGCCUUCGGCUCAACCGAAGAAGUGCAUCGGAAACUGGGAAACUUGAGUGCAGAAGAGGACAGUGGAACUCCAUGUGUAGCGGUGAAAUGCGUAGAUAUAUGGAAGAACACCAGUGGCGAAGGCGGCUGUCUGGUCUGUAACUGACGCUGAGGCUCGAAAGUAUGGGUAGCAAACAGGAUUAGAUACCCUGGUAGUCCAUACCGUAAACGAUGAAUGCUAAGUGUUGGAGGGUUUCCGCCCUUCAGUGCUGCAGCUAACGCAUUAAGCAUUCCGCCUGGGGAGUACGGCCGCAAGGCUGAAACUCAAAGGAAUUGACGGGGGCCCGCACAAGCGGUGGAGCAUGUGGUUUAAUUCGAAGCUACGCGAAGAACCUUACCAGGUCUUGACAUACUAUGCAAAUCUAAGAGAUUAGACGUUCCCUUCGGGGACAUGGAUACAGGUGGUGCAUGGUUGUCGUCAGCUCGUGUCGUGAGAUGUUGGGUUAAGUCCCGCAACGAGCGCAACCCUUAUUAUCAGUUGCCAGCAUUAAGUUGGGCACUCUGGUGAGACUGCCGGUGACAAACCGGAGGAAGGUGGGGAUGACGUCAAAUCAUCAUGCCCCUUAUGACCUGGGCUACACACGUGCUACAAUGGAUGGUACAACGAGUUGCGAACUCGCGAGAGUAAGCUAAUCUCUUAAAGCCAUUCUCAGUUCGGAUUGUAGGCUGCAACUCGCCUACAUGAAGUCGGAAUCGCUAGUAAUCGCGGAUC